CGUAAACAAAGGGAAGCGAAGUGGUGACAUGGAGCAAAUCCCAAAAAUAACGUCCCAGUUCGGAUUGUAGUCUGCAACCCGACUACAUGAAGCCGGAAUCGCUAGUAAUCGCGGAUCAGAAUGCCGCGGUGAAUACGUUCCCGGGUCUUGUACACACCGCCCGUCACACCAUGGGAGUUGGGAAUGCCCGAAGCCGGUGACCUAACCGAAAGGGAGGAGCCGUCGAAGGCAGGCUUGAUAACUGGGGUGAAGUCGUAACAAGGUAUC
rnacentral:rRNA from 1 species